GACGAACGCUGGCGGCGUGCCUAAUACAUGCAAGUAGAACGCUGAAGAGAGGAGCUUGCUCUUCUUGGAUGAGUUGCGAACGGGUGAGUAACGCGUAGGUAACCUGCCUUGUAGCGGGGGAUAACUAUUGGAAACGAUAGCUAAUACCGCAUAACAAUGGAUGACACAUGUCAUUUAUUUGAAAGGGGCAAUUGCUCCACUACAAGAUGGACCUGCGUUGUAUUAGCUAGUAGGUGAGGUAAUGGCUCACCUAGGCGACGAUACAUAGCCGACCUGAGAGGGUGAUCGGCCACACUGGGACUGAGACACGGCCCAGACUCCUACGGGAGGCAGCAGUAGGGAAUCUUCGGCAAUGGGGGCAACCCUGACCGAGCAACGCCGCGUGAGUGAAGAAGGUUUUCGGAUCGUAAAGCUCUGUUGUAAGUCAAGAACGGGUGUGAGAGUGGAAAGUUCACACUGUGUCGGUAGCUUACCAGAAAGGGACGGCUAACUACGUG
rnacentral:rRNA from 1 species